rnacentral:rRNA from 1 species
AUUGAACGCUGGCGGCAGGCCUAACACAUGCAAGUCGAACGAGUGGCGGACGGGUGAGUAAUGUCUGGGAAACUGCCCGAUGGAGGGGGAUAACUACUGGAAACGGUAGCUAAUACCGCCUACCAUCGGAUGUGCCCAGAUGGGAUUAGCUUGUAGGUGAGGUAACGGCUCACCUAGGCGACGAUCCCUAGCUGGUCUGAGAGGAUGACCAGCCACACGGGAACUGAUACACGGUCCAGACUCCUACGGGAUGCAGCAGGGGGGAAUAUUGCAAAAUGGGCGCAAGCCUGAUGCAGUCAUGCCGCGUGUAGGAAGAAGGACUGCGGGUUGUAAAUUACUGGCAGCGGGGAGGCGUUACCCGCAGAAGAAGCACCGGCUAACUCCGUGCCAGCAGCCGCGGUAAUAC